AGGUUAUGGUUAGAGUGAGGGUAAGGGUUAAGGUUUGACAUUUAGUUGGGAUGGCUGAGGUUAGGGUUAGGGAAUACAUUAUGUCAGUGACCGGUCCCCACAAAGAUAGUGCCACGCACUG